rnacentral:rRNA from 1 species
GAUGAACGCUGGCGGCGUGCCUAAUACAUGCAAGUCGAGCGAACAGACGAGGAGCUUGCUCCUCUGACGUUAGCGGCGGACGGGUGAGUAACACGUGGAUAACCUACCUAUAAGACUGGGAUAACUUCGGGAAACCGGAGCUAAUACCGGAUAAUAUAUUGAACCGCAUGGUUCAAUAGUGAAAGACGGUUUUGCUGUCCCUUAUAGAUGGAUCCGCGCCGCAUUAGCUAGUUGGUAAGGUAACGGCUUACCAAGGCAACGAUGCGUAGCCGACCUGAGAGGGUGAUCGGCCACACUGGAGCUGAGACACGGUCCAGACUCCUACGGGAGGCAGCAGUAGGGAAUCUUCCGCAAUGGGCGAAAGCCUGACGGAGCAACGCCGCGUGAGUGAUGAAGGUCUUCGGAUCGUAAAACUCUGUUAUUAGGGAAGAACAAAUGUGUAAGUAACUAUGCACGUCUUGACGGUACCUAAUCAGAAAGCCACGGCUAACUACGUG